rnacentral:rRNA from 1 species
AUGCAAACGCACAGCAAACUGUGUGUCUCCGCACUUACUACUCUAUCUGGACUCCAAGAGUGGGCAGACCUCCCAGAUGGUUUGUUGCACACCAUUCUUCCUCUCUUAGGCUCUGUACGUGAUCUUCUUGCCUUUUCUGCAACAUGCCGCUCUUGGCAUGUUGCAUUCUUGUCAUACCCAUCCAAAUCUACCCUCUGCACCCUGUUCCCCCCUCUCCUCAUCCAAACCAACAUCCGUGUUGAUGCUCCUCACGUUCCAUCUAACGAUAUUCAUUGCAAGUUGCACACCUGUAAGGUCAUUGACCCAUCCAACCAAAACAUCACUCUUCGCUGCCAGAUUGAUGAAGAAAUUCUACAAAAGAUGUAUUGUGUUGGCCCUUCCUAUGGUCAUCUCAUCUUCUUUUGCUCCCGUGGAUAUUGUCUUGUUGUUGACCCUUUCAGUGGUUCCAAAGUUUCACCCCCACGUCUUCCAAUCAGUGGCUGCGAGCGGGUUAGUCCUACCAAAAUACAUGCUCAACAUUCAGAGAUUGCGGAGUUGUACUUCUUCGGUGUUCUAACAGCUCCCAUUACAUCACCCAAUUCACAUCUCCUUGUGGGAACUCGAUUCUCUCUAUUUGAUUGGCCAGUUGGAAGUGACUCUUGGUCAGAACUCAAACUUCCUUCUGGUGCACAAAUAACUCAAAUCGUGGAAUUCAAGGGUCAGUUUAUUGCCAUGGAUUAUCAUAGAAGGAUCUACUCUUUCGAGUUAGCGCCCCAGCUUGGCCUACAAGAGAUAAUAACUGAGUGGUCUCCCCACUCGAUCAGAACCCCAUACCAAACAUCAUGGCUAGUGGUUUGUGGUGACAUGCUCCUCAUGUUCAUCACGGUUGACCAUUGGAGCAGACGUAUUAAGGAUGGUGGUAUUUUGAAAAAGGUUUGUACACUUCACCUCGACAUGUCAAGCAAACCUGCAAAAUGGGUUGUCAAGAAAAAGUUGGGCAGCUGGGCAGCCUUUGCAGGAUGUGAUACGAAGAACAUGCCAUUAUCUAAUAUGAACCCAGAACGAUGGGGAGGGAGGAGCAAUUCAUUGUAUUACGCCGAGAGUUCUCCACCUUGGAGAGUACACGAGCUGGACAGCGCACAUGAUCCUUGGGACGCUUCCAUCAGGCAGUGCGUAAUAUAUUGGGGCCACUACAUGAAGCCCCUCUGGGUGUAUCCAAGCAUGCUCUAUUCAGAUGGGGCCAGUGAUCAUCGUGUGGAACGAUAG